rnacentral:tRNA from 1 species
GCCCGACUAGCUCAUCGGUAGAGCGCCUCACUAGUAUCUUCCCGCAAAAGGAUAAUAGUUAAAAAUGAGGAGGCAACAGGUUCGAUUCCUGUGUUGGGCA